rnacentral:rRNA from 1 species
GACGAACGCUGGCGGCGUGCUUAACACAUGCAAGUCAUACGGUAAGGCCCUUUCGUUGGUACACGAGUGGCUAACGGGUGAGUAACACGUGCGUAACUUGCCCACCCCUUUGUUAUAACUCUAUUCAACUGGUUCUAAUUCUUGAUAUGUGCUCCUUCUGCAUGGUUGGGGUUGGUAAGCUCCGGCGGUUGUGGAUGGACUCGCGGCCUAUCAGCUUGUUGGUGGGGUAGUGGCCUACCAAGGCGGCGAUGGGUAGCCGGCCUGGGAGGGUGAACGGCCAAAUUGGGACUGGGAUACGGCCCAGAAUCCUACGGGAGGCAGCAGGGGGGAAUAAUGCAAAAUGGGGGCAAGCCUGAUGCAGCAAAGCCGCGGGCGGGAUGACGGGCUUCGGGUUGUAAACCGCUUUCAGCAGGGAAGAAGCUUUUUGUGACGGUACCUGCAGAAGAAGCACCGGCUAACUACGUG